rnacentral:misc_RNA from 1 species
UGGACAUCUAGCCUUCCAUUCUGAAAAUGAAAUAAUAAAAUCAAUUGCCUCUGUCUUCAAAAAGACACUUUAGCUAUUGAUAUAUUGUUACAGUUGUACUGUUGUACCCUCAAUCCUUCAUCGUAUUAAAUAUGAAUGUUAAGCAAUAACAGCAUAGCAUUUCAAAUUCAAUACAAAUUCUUUUAAUUAUUUAUUAUUUGUAAACAUUAGAUUAACUUUCCUUACUUUUAAAGAAAAUGUAUAUCUCCUAAAG